ensembl:lncRNA
UGUCGUGAUUGGAGAGUUACUGAGAGAACCAGUGUCGUGAUUGGAGAGUUACUGAGAGAACCAGUGUCGUGAUUGGAGAGUUACUGAGAGAACCAGUGACGUGAUUGGAGAGUUACUGAGAGAACCAGUCAUGAUUGUCAAUCGAUGUUAAACACAGUCCUUGAACCAUGAAUACACAGUGUCUUAUUGGCCCAUGUGGGCGGGGCAUCCUGAAGAUGCAAAACACUGUAAUAACAAAAAUGAAUCAAAUGUAGAUAGAACAAAUUUCAAAAAAAGUAAUAAAAACACCUUUUCUCCCAUUUUUCUCGUCAUCUGGAUAUUUUGAAGAAAUUGGUUACACAAAUGAGCAUAACAAAAUUGAACAGAAUGACUUCUACUAGUGUAGGCCUAAACAUGUGUUUAAAGCCUUACUGAUGAAUCAUGUGUAGGUCACAUGAGAAUGGAACAUAAAACCUGUUUCUGACACCAUGACAACGAACAACAGUCACUGGAAACUAUGAGUGCUGUCUUCACUAACGAUCUCUUUUAAACUACAGGAACUGAUGGCUUCGAGACACCAGAAGCCUCAGUAUCUCAGUGGACUCCGACCCUACGGCAGUAACCAGAUGGUUGUUAGUUCAACCAGACGGUUGUUAGUUCAACCAGACGGUUGUUAGUUCAACCCUAUGGCAGUAACCAGAUGGUUGUUAGUUCAACCCUACGGCAGUAACCAGAUGGUUGUUAGUCCAACCCUACGGCAGUAACCAGACGGUUGUUAGUUCAACCCUACGGCAGUGACCAGACGGUUGUUAGUCCAACCCUACGGCAGUAACCAGACGGUUGUUAGUCCAACCCUACGGCAGUAACCAGACGGUUGUUAGUUCAACCCUACGGCAGUGACCAGACGGUUGUUAGUCCAACCCUACGGCAGUAACCAGACGGUUGUUAGUCCAACCCUACGGCAGUAACCAGACGGUUGUUAGUUCAACCCUACGGCAGUAACCAGACGGUUGUUAGUUCAACCCUACGGCAGUAACCAGAUGGUUGUUAGUUCAAUCCUACGGCAGUAACCAGAUGGUUGUUAGUUCAACCCUACGGCAGUAACCAGAUGGUUGUUAGUUCAACCCUACGGCAGUAACCAGAUGGUUGUUAGUUCAACGUUCUGGCAGUAACCAGAUGGUUGUUAGUUCAAUCCUACGGCAGUAACCAGAUGGCUGUUAGUUCAAUCCUACGGCAGUAACCAGAUGGUUGUUAGUCCAACCCUACGGCAGUAACCAGAUGGGUGUUAGUCCAACCCUACGGCAGUAACCAGAUGGUUGUUAGUUCAAAUCCCACCAGUACGUUUGUUUUCCAUUUGAACUCUAACAGACCGGUGUGAGAGGUUGAUAUAUCCAGUUUGAACAGGUCACAGAGCGAAGGGUUCGGGUUCCUGGUGUUACCAGGGGGUGUGUAGAUCACCAAUCUCCUAGACCUGGUUGUACAGGACUGGCUGUGGGUUUGAAACCCCCAGUUUCUGGGGCCUGGAGCAUAUCCGAGUAGUUCUUUCUUCAGGUCUAGGCUUUAUGACGUGGUAACUGAGUAGUUCAUUCAUCCUUCAGGUCUAGGCUUUAGGACGUGGUAACUGAGUAGUUCAUUCAUUCUUCAGGUCUAGGCUUUAGGAUGUGGUAACUGAGUAGUUCAUUCAUCCUUCAGAUCUAGGCUUUAGGACGUGGUAACUGAGUAGUUCAUUCAUUCUUCAGGUCUAGGCUUUAGGACGUGGUAACUGAGUAGUUCAUUCAUUCUUCAGGUCUAGGCUCAAAUGCACCUUGCAGAGGCAUGUCGGUGCCAGCGUGGAUUAUAUUUUGUUGACUGUCCGGUGCUCUUCAACUUGCCUAGAUUGAAUCCCAGCCUAAGUGGACACUUUACUAAAUGUCAUGCUGCCGAGUAUAAAAUUGUGUUUUUGUAUAUACAGUACCAGUCAAAGGUUUGGACACACCUCAUUCCAGGUUGCAAGUUCAAAUCCCCGAGCUGACAAGGUACAAAUCUGUCGUUCUUGUCCCUGAACAAGGCAGUUAACCCACUGUUCCCUAGUAGGCCGUCAUUGAAAAUAAGAAUUUGUUCUUAACUGACUUGCCUGGUUAAAUAAAACGUUUAAAAUAUAUAUUAACAUAUCCAAGGGUUUUUCUUUAUUUUUACAAUUUUCUACAUUGUAGAAUAAUAGUGAAGACUGAAAUAACCAAAAAAAGUGUUAAACAAAUCAACAUUUAUUUUAUAUUGGAGAUUCUACAAAGAAGCCACCCUUUGCCUUGAUGACAGCUUUGCACACUCUUGGCAUUCUCUCAACCAGCUUCAUAAGGUAGUCACCUGGAAUGCAUUUGUGGAAUUUCUUUCCUUCUUACAGCCAAUCAGUUGUGUUGUGACAAGGUAGGGAUGUUAUACAGAAGAGAGCCCUAUUUGGUAAAAGACCAAGUACAUAUUAUGGCAAGAACAGCAACAGUCCAUCAUUGCUUUAAGACAUGAAGGUCUGUCAAUACGGAACAUUUCAAGAACUUUGAAAGUUUCUUCAAGUGCCGUCUUAAAAACCAUCAAGCGCUGUGCUGAAACUGGCUCUCAUGAGGACCACCACAGGAAAGGAAGACCCAGAGUUACUUCUGCUGCUAAGUUAGACUUAGCAGCCUCAGAAAUUGCAGCCCAAAUAAAUGCUUCACAGAGUUCAAGUAAUAGACAUCUCAACUGCGUGAAUCAGGCCUUCAUGGUCAUAUUGCUGCAAAGAAACCACUGCUAAAGGACACCAAUAAUAAGAAGAGACUUGCUUGGGCCAAGAAACACGAGCAAUGGACAUUAGACCGGUGGAAAUCUGUCCUUUUGAUAUGAUGAGUCCAAAUUUUAGAUUUUUGUUUCCAACCGCUGUCUUUGUGAGAUGCAGACUAGGUGAACGGAUGAUCUCUGCAUGUGUGGUUCCCACCGUGAAGCAUGGAGGAGGAGGUGGUGUGAUGGUGCUUUGCUGGUGACACUGUGGUUUAUUUAGAAUUCAAGGCACACUUACCCAGCAUGGCUACCCCAGCAUUCUACAGCGAUACGCCAUCCCAUCAGGUUUGCGCUUAGUGGGACUAUCAUUUGUUUUUCAACAGGACAAUGACCCAACACACCUCCAGGCUGUAUAAGGGCUAUUUGACCAAGAAGGAGAGUGAUUGAGUGCUGCAUCAGAUGACCUGGCCUCCACAAUCAGCUGAUCUCAACAUAAAUGAGAUGGUUUGGGAUGCGUUGGACCGCAGAGGGAAGGAAAAGCAGCCAACAAGUUCUCAGCAUAUGUGGGAACUCCUUCACGACUGUUGGCAAAGCAUUCCAGGUGAAGCUGGUUGAGAGAAUGCCAAGAGUUUGCAAAGCUGUCAUCAAGGCAGAGGGUGGCUAAAUAUAAAACAAGUUAUUAAAUAAUCUCUUGGCAAACAAAGCAGUUACUAUUUACAAGAAAACACUCAAAUCAUUUCAGGUGUGUGUGUGUGAGUGAGUGAGUAAGUGAGAGACCGAGAGAGAGACAGAGAGAGAGAGACUGCAGGGUGCCUCUCCUUUCUGUCCUGUCUCCCCUGGGCAUGUUCUCCUCCAGCUCCAUCAGCCUGUCCUCUCUCCCCUGGGCAUGUUCUCCUCCAGCUCCAUCAGCCUGUCCUCUCUCCCCUGGGCAUGUUCUGCUGCUACUCUCUGAGCUGUCUCUGAGGCUGUGAUGUCUAUGUGGGCGUAUGUGGUGGAGCCCCCUACUGGACAGGAAGACCAACAACAAUAACCAGUGACUACAAAAUCAUGGUCCUCUACUAGAACAUAAAAACCAGUCUCCUGAUCAUCCUGCCUUCUCCUGAAGUGUUUGUCUUGCACACUUUGCUUAUAACAAACCUUAAUCCAUGAAGGGUAGUGUGCGAGUGUACACUUUGGGAGAAGGGUGGUGUAAUCGGGACACACAAUAGAAAUACACACAGCCAAUAGCUUUGAGCAGGUUCUAUGUUUCCUAGUAGGAGAUUAUCACAGUACAAGAAGCCAUAUAGCACCAAGGAGGAAGAGACUGUAGGCCACAGUGUGCUGUAUGUUCCCAACAUGAGGUAUUAUAAUCAACUUUAGGUUAUAAACAUGUCCUGUUCAACCAUUAUAAUGUGUUCCCAACAGUAGGUAUUAUAAACAUGUCCUGUUCCCAACAUUAGGUAUUAUAAUCAACUUUAGGUUAUAAACAUGUCCUGUUCCCAACAUUAGGUAUUAUAAUCAACUUUAGGUUAUAAACAUGUCCUGUUCCCAACAUUAGGUAUUAUAAUCAACUUUAGGUUAUAAACAUGUCCUAUUAAACCAUUAUAAUGAUGUGUUCCCAACUUUAGGUUAUAAACAUGUCCUGUUCCCAACAUUAGAUAUUAUAAUCAACUUUAGGUUAUAAACAUGUCCUGUUCCCAACAUUAGGUAUUAUAAACAUGUCCUGUUCCCAACAUUAGGUAUUAUAAUCAACUUUAGGUUAUAAACAUGUCCUGUUCCCAACAUUAGGUAUUAUAAUCAACUUUAGGUUAUAAACAUGUCCUGUUCCCAACAUUAGGUAUUAUAAUCAACUUUAGGUUAUAAACAUGUCCUGUUCCCAACAUUAUAAUGAUGUGUUCCCAACAUUAGGUAUUAUAAUCAACUUUAGGUUAUAAACAUGUCCUGUUCCCAACAUUAGGUAUU